UGUGUUUGCAUGGGUUCCCUUCAUCU
rnacentral:misc_RNA from 1 species